CCUACGGGAGGCAGCAGUGAGGAAUAUUGGUCAAUGGACGAGAGUCUGAACCAGCCAAGUAGCGUGAAGGAUGACUGCCCUAUGGGUUGUAAACUUCUUUUAUAUGGGAAUAAAACAGGGUAUGCAUACCCUCUUGUAUGUACCAUAUGAAUAAGGAUCGGCUAACUCCGUGCCAGCAGCCGCGGUAAUACGGAGGAUCCGAGCGUUCUCCGGAUUUAUUGGGUUUAAAGGGAGCGUAGGUGGAUUGUUAAGUCAGUUGUGAAAGUUUGCGGCUCAACCGUAAAAUUGCAGUUGAAACUGGCAGUCUUGAGUACAGUAGAGGUGGGCGGAAUUCGUGGUGUAGCGGUGAAAGGCUUAGAUAUCACGAAGAACUCCGAUUGCGAAGGCAGCUCACUGGACUGCAACUGACACUGAUGCUCGAAAGUGUGGGUAUCAAACAGGAUUAGAUACCCGUGUAGUC
rnacentral:rRNA from 1 species